GACGACGCUGGCGGCGUGGAUUAGGCAUGCAAGUGAACGGUAGGAUACCUUCGGGUAUCUGAGAGUGGCGAACGGGUGAGUAACACGUAGGUGAUCUACCCUCAAGAUUGGGACAACCCAGGGAAACUUGGGCUAAUACCGGAUGAAAGCAGCAGUGAUGUUGUUUGAAAGGUGGCGUAAGCUGCCGUUUGGGGAUGAGCCUGCGCUCUAUUAGUUAGUUGGCGGGUAAAGGCCCACCAAGGCGAUGAUAGAUAGGCGGCCUUAACGGGUGGUCGCCCACACUGGGAUUGAGAUACGGCCCAGACUCCUACGGGAGGCAGCAGUCGAGAAUAGUCUACAAUGGCCGAAAGGCUGAUAGUGCGACGCCGCGUGAACGAAGAAGCCCUUCGGGGUGUAAAGUUCUUUUAUAUGUGAGCAGUGCUUUCUAUGUGAACAGCAUGGGGAGAGAGAUAUUAGCAUAUGAAUAAGCAACGGCUAACUCCGUG
rnacentral:rRNA from 1 species